AUUGAACGCUGGCGGCAGGCCUAACACAUGCAAGUCGAGCGGAUGAAGGGAGCUUGCUCCUGGAUUCAGCGGCGGACGGGUGAGUAAUGCCUAGGAAUCUGCCUGGUAGUGGGGGAUAACGUCCGGAAACGGGCGCUAAUACCGCAUACGUCCUGAGGGAGAAAGUGGGGGAUCUUCGGACCUCACGCUAUCAGGUGAGCCUAGGUCGGAUUAGCUAGUUGGUGGGGUAAAGGCCUACCAAGGCGACGAUCCGUAACUGGUCUGAGAGGAUGAUCAGUCACACUGGAACUGAGACACGGUCCAGACUCCUACGGGAGGCAGCAGUGGGGAAUAUUGGACAAUGGGCGAAAGCCUGAUCCAGCCAUGCCGCGUGUGUGAAGAAGGUCUUCGGAUUGUAAAGCACUUUAAGUUGGGAGGAAGGGAAGUAAGUUAAUACCUUGCUGUUUUGACGUUACCAACAGAAUAAGCACCGGCUAACUUCGUG
rnacentral:rRNA from 1 species